rfam:Oryza glaberrima chromosome 6 Oglab06_0191_7, whole genome shotgun sequence.
AAUAAGUGUAGUUUUGCAUUAUUUACGUUCAACGUUUGAUCGUUUAUCUUAUUUGAAAAAAAAUUUUAUGAUUAGUAUUUUUAUUGCUAUUAGAUGAUAAAACAUAAAUAGUACUUUAUGUGUGACUAAAUAUUUUUAAUUUUUUCACAAAUUUUUUAAAUAAGACGGACGGUCAAACGUUGGGCAUGGAUAUCCACAGCUGCACUUAUU